GGGGCUGUAGCUCAGUUGGUAGAGCGCUUCCUUAGCGUGCUAUACGUUAAAUCUGGAUGAGGUCUGGUGUUCAAUUCGCCACUGCUCCA
rnacentral:tRNA from 1 species